rnacentral:rRNA from 1 species
AAUGAACGCUGGCGGCGGGCCUAAUACAUGCAAGUCGAGCGAACAAAGGGGGCUUUUUCCCGUAUUAAGUGGCCGACGGAUGGGUAAUGCCUACGUAUCUGACUGGUAUUGAGGACUAACAUACCGAAACGGGCCCUGAUACAGCAUACGUUCUGAGGGAGAAAGUGGUGGCUCUUCAGACAUAACGCUUUCAGAUGUGCCUUGGUCGUAUUAGCUAGUUGGUGGGGUAAAGGCCUACCAAGGCGACGAUCCGUAACUGCUCUGAGAGGAUGAUCAGCCACACUGGAACUGAGACACGGUCCAGACUCCUACGGGAGGCAGCAGUAGGGAAUAUUCGACAAUGGGCGAAAGCCUGACCCAGCCAUGCCGCGUGUGUGAUGAAGGUCUUCGGAUUGUAAAGCACUUUUAGUUGGGAGGAAGAACAGUGAGAGAAUCUCUUGCUGUUUUGACGUUACCAACAGAGUAAGCACCGGCUAACUUCGUG